AACGAACGCUGGCGGCAUGCCUAACACAUGCAAGUCGAACGGGAUCCUAGCUUGCUAGGUGAGAGUGGCGGACGGGUGAGUAACACGUGGGAAUCUGCCUUUUGGUUCGGGAUAACCGCGGGAAACUGCGGGCUAAUACCGAAUGCCCUCGAGAGAGGAAAGAUUUAUCGCCAGAAGAGGAGCCCGCGUCCGAUUAGGUAGUUGGUGGGGUAAAGGCCUACCAAGCCGACGAUCGGUAGCUGGUCUGAGAGGAUGAUCAGCCACACUGGACUGAGAUACGGCCCAGACUCCUACGGGAGGCAGCAGUGGGGAAUAUUGGACAAUAGGGGGCAACCCUGAUCCAGCAAUGCCGCGUGAGUGAUGAAGGCC
rnacentral:rRNA from 1 species